rnacentral:rRNA from 1 species
ACUGUCUCCUUUUUCAUAUCAGUGAAACUAAUCUCCCCGUGAAGAAGCGGGGAUAAUUCUAUAAGACGAGAAGACCCCAUGGAGCUUUAAACCCAACUACACUCCUUUUUGACUUUACUUUUUAACUCCUAGGAUUUUGUAUGUUCUGGUUUUAGGUUGGGGUGACCGCGGAGCAUAAAUUAGCCUCCACAAUGAAUAGACCUUCUCUUUAUCCAAGACUUACACCUCUAAGAAUUAGUAUUCUAACAUAAAAUGAUCCGAUAUUCGAUCAACGAACCAAGUUACCCUGGGGAUAACAGCGCAAUCUACUUCAAGAGCCCCUAUCGACAAGUGGG